rnacentral:rRNA from 1 species
CCCUUAGAUGUUCUGGGCCGCACGCGCGCUACAAUGGUCUUCGCAAACGGAUGCAUUCUCGAAGGAGAAUGCCAAUCUUGGAAUCUAUGCCUUGGUCGGGACAGUUGCUUGCAAUUUUUCGACUCGAACCAGGAAUUCCUUGUAAUCGUGAUUCAUCACAUCACGAUGAAUACGUCCCUGCCCUUUGUACACACCGCCCGUCGCUCCUACCGCUCGAAGAGUUAGGUGAAUUGUUUUGAUCGAUAAGAUUUGACUAUGGUCAACUCUCGUUGUGAAAUUCUGUGAAUCUGACUGUUUAGAGGAAGGAAAAGUCGUAACA